CUCAGAUUGGACAGAUAGUCUAGCUAGCUGUCUGGAUUUAUCCUGCCGACAUCUGAGGACCAGGUAACCAGAGUCCUCAGAAAUCCACCAGAGGUUAGAAUUACACACAGAGAAAGCGGAAGGAAUCUGAAAAUACA